CACGUAGGGCGCAAGCGUUGUCCGGAAUUAUUGGGCGUAAAGAGCUCGUAGGCGGUCUGUUGCGUCCGCUGUGAAAACUCGGGGCUUAACCCCGAGCCUGCAGUGGAUACGGGCAGACUAGAGGUAGGUAGGGGAGAAUGGAAUUCCCGGUGUAGCGGUGAAAUGCGCAGAUAUCGGAGGAACACCGGUGGCGAAGGCGGUUCUCUGGGCCUUACCUGACGCUGAGGAGCGAAAGCGUGGGAGCGAACAGG
rnacentral:rRNA from 1 species